rnacentral:rRNA from 1 species
AGUGAACGCUGGCGGUAGGCCUAACACAUGCAAGUCGAACGGCAGCACAGUAAGAGCUUGCUCUUACGGGUGGCGAGUGGCGGACGGGUGAGGAAUACAUCGGAAUCUACUUUUUCGUGGGGGAUAACGUAGGGAAACUUACGCUAAUACCGCAUACGACCUACGGGUGAAAGCAAGGGAUCUUCGGACCUUGCCCGAUUGAAUGAGCCGGUGCCGGAUUAGCUAGUUGGCGGGGUAAAGGCCCACCAAGGCGACGAUCCGUAGCUGGGCUGAGAGGAUGAUCAGCCACACUGGAACUGAGACACGGUCCAGACUCCUACGGGAGGCAGCAGUGGGGAAUAUUGGACAAUGGGCGCAAGCCUGACCCAGCCAUACCGCGUGGGUGAAGAAGGCCUUCGGGUUGUAAAGCCCUGUUGUUGGGAAAGAAAAGCAGCAGGUUAAUACCCCGCUGUUCUGACGGUACCCAAAGAAUAAGCACCGGCUAACUUCGUG